AACGAACGCUGGCGGCAUGCCUAACACAUGCAAGUCGAACGAGAUCUUCGGGUCUAGUGGCGCACGGGUGCGUAACGCGUGGGAAUCUGCCCUUUGGUUCGGAAUAACAGUUGGAAACGACUGCUAAUACCGGAUGAUGACGAAAGUCCAAAGAUUUAUCGCCAGAGGAUGAGCCCGCGUAGGAUUAGCUAGUUGGUGUGGUAAAGGCGCACCAAGGCGACGAUCCUUAGCUGGUCUGAGAGGAUGAUCAGCCACACUGGGACUGAGACACGGCCCAGACUCCUACGGGAGGCAGCAGUGGGGAAUAUUGGACAAUGGGCGAAAGCCUGAUCCAGCAAUGCCGCGUGAGUGAUGAAGGCCUUAGGGUUGUAAAGCUCCUUUACCCGGGAUGAUAACGACAGUACCGGGAGAAUAAGCUCCGGCUAACUCCGUGCCAGCCGCCGCAGUAA
rnacentral:rRNA from 1 species